rnacentral:rRNA from 1 species
GACACAGGGAGGUAGUGACAAGAAAUAACAAUACAGGGCUUUCGUCUUGUAAUUGGAAUGAUGGUGAUGUACAACCUCACCAGAGUACCAAUUGGAGGGCAAGUCUGGUGCCAGCAGCCGCGGUAAUUCCAGCUCCAAUAGCGUAUAUUAAACUUGUUGCAGUUAAAAAGCUCGUAGUUGUAUUUCAGCCUCGCGUUUUUUCCCUCUUUUUGGGUCUUUUCGCUGGCUUUCUUUUUACUUUGAGAAAAUUAGAGUGUUUCAAGCAGACUUUUGUCUUGAAUACUUCAGCAUGGAAUAAUAGAGUAGGACCUUGGUUCUAUUUUGUUGGUUUCGAGCCUUGGUAAUGGUUAAUAGGAACGGUUGGGGGCAUUCGUAUUUAACUGUCAGAGGUGAAAUUCUUAG